GUUUCUUUUUGGACGGUGAUUUCAGAGGAAUGACUCCAAAAUGGAUUAUUCUUGGCAUCGUCGGCUUGACUUUGCUGGGAAAACCAUCCAGUGGGGAAGAAUAUUUUUGGCGAAAAUAUCCUGGCUGCAUCGGCUUUUCCAGUUGUUUUCAGUGCAUAGUCCCUAAGGAUUUCCCAAAAUGUUCCUACGGCUGGAUAAAUUAUAAUGAAUACACGUGCACAUGUCUUCACAACGAAUUUCAUUACACAAUUGGAUGCAAACAAGGAAAAAUCUACGUACGAUCGCCUGAUGGAAAAACAAAAUGCGAAAAAACUGAUGAUCCCUUGCUUCAUCAUCUUGGGUCGUCAGUAUUGCCAAAUAAUUUUUCAAAAUUAGACAGAAAUGAAAGCACAACUCUCUCACAUGGUUCCUUCCUAAACACACAACAAACAAAUGGUGGCCUAGAGAAUAAAUCGGACGAAGAGACACCAAAAUUGAUUAUAAUUCCUGGCCAUCUGGAUAAAUGGGACUACAAGCCAAUCUUGACCAUAUUUGUCUCAGUUCUAACUUGUAUUGCAUUUGGAGUGAUAAUAUUUUCCUGUUAUUUAGUUAUUGAUCAAAAAAGAUCUCUAGCCGAUCUAUAAUUGCCAUGUAAAAAAGGUUUUGCAUAAUGUAAUAAAUUAGAAUUAGAGUAGCCAUAAUUUUUUUUUUUAAUAUUUAAUACUAUCCUUAUUUUUCUAUUUUAUUUUAUUUUGCGUGCAUAUAUUUGUAUUUUAAAAUGAAUACUAAUGUCAUUGUAUCAUAAAUAAA